GGUGCUUGCAUCAUGAUUUACAUUUGAGUGAGUGGCGAACUGGUGAGUAACACGUGGGAAACCUGCCCAGAAGCGGGGGAUAACACCUGGAAACAGAUGCUAAUACCGCAUAACAACUUGGACCGCAUGGUCCGAGCUUGAAAGAUGGCUUCGGCUAUCACUUUUGGAUGGUCCCGCGGCGUAUUAGCUAGAUGGUGGGGUAACGGCUCACCAUGGCAAUGAUACGUAGCCGACCUGAGAGGGUAAUCGGCCACAUUGGGACUGAGACACGGCCCAAACUCCUACGGGAGGCAGCAGUAGGGAAUCUUCCACAAUGGACGAAAGUCUGAUGGAGCAACGCCGCGUGAGUGAAGAAGGGUUUCGGCUCGUAAAACUCUGUUGUUAAAGAAGAACAUAUCUGAGAGUAACUGUUCAGGUAUUGACGGUAUUUAACCAGAAAGCCACGGCUAACUACGUGCCAGCAGCCGCGGUAAUACGUAGGUGGCAAGCGUUGUCCGGAUUUAUUGGGCGUAAAGCGAGCGCAGGCGGUUUUUUAAGUCUGAUGUGAAAGCCUUCGGCUCAACCGAAGAAGUGCAUCGGAAACUGGGAAACUUGAGUGCAGAAGAGGACAGUGGAACUCCAUGUGUAGCGGUGAAAUGCGUAGAUAUAUGGAAGAACACCAGUGGCGAAGGCGGCUGUCUGGUCUGUAACUGACGCUGAGGCUCGAAAGUAUGGGUAGCAAACAGGAUUAGAUACCCUGGUAGUCCAUACCGUAAACGAUGAAUGCUAAGUGUUGGGAGGGUUUCCGCCCCUUCCCUGCUGCAGCUAACGCAUUAAGCAUUCCGCCCGGGGGAGUACGGCCCCCAAGGCUGAAAACUCAAACGGAAUUGACUGGGGGCCCCCCACAAACCGGGGGAAGCAAGGUGGGUUUAAUUUCCAAAACUACCCCGAACAAACCU
rnacentral:rRNA from 1 species